AAAAAAGAAUAAUUACAUCAGAACCAGAGAAGACCUGGUGCUUUCUACUGGCUUUUAGAUUUAUGACUAUCACAAAAUUCUUAGGAUUCACCUUUCUGUUUUAAAGGUUGAUAGACUGGAUGCAGCUAUGGUAAUCUGCCUCAGGAAAGUGCCGGACUGUUGUUUGCAAGCUUGUUAAGUGAGCAAAACUUGGGAAGAUUUCAAGGUCUGACAGCCCUGCCAUUUCCUAACUUCUGCUGUGUGGGCCAUCUACCUACCUUUGGGAACCUCCAAUCAAUACUCACAGAGUUGGUCUCAUCCUGGGAACUCUCUUGCCUCUCCCCAUGGUUCAUUCUCCAAGUCUGAGUUAUUUGGUCAAAAAAAACCCCAAAUGCUUCAGAAAACUCUCGCAAACUUGUCAUAGCUUUUGAUGUUCCAGGCCACAGAAGAGCCCAGACAGAGCCUCUGCUGCAUCUCUACUAAAAAUACAAAAAAUCUCUCACAGAGUCUUGCUGUGUCGCCCAGGCUGGAGUGCAGUGUCAUGAUCUCGGCUCACUACAACCUCUGCCUCCCAGGUUCAAGUGAUUCUCCUGCCUCAGCCUCCCAAGUAGCUGGGACUACAGGCGCUCGCCACGGAGCCUGGCUAAUUUUUUGUAAUUUUAGUAGAGACAGGGUUUCACCAUUUUGGCCAGACUGGUCUCGAACUCCUGACCUCAUGAUCUGCCCACCUUGA
rnacentral:lncRNA from 1 species